AUGGCGAUGGUGUUGGACGCAUUUGCGUCCUACCUGGUGGACAUGGUCAAGCAGGUGGCAACAGAUGAGGUAGGGGCUAUGCUCGGAGUCUCGGGUGAGAUCAACAAGAUGGGUGACAAGCUCCGAGACCUCAAAAACUUCCUGGAUGACGCCGAUAGGAGGAACAUCACCGACAAGAUCGUCCAAGAGUGGGCGGGGCAGCUCAAGCGUGCCAUGUAUGAAGCUAUUGAUAUCCUUGACCUCUGCCAGCUCAAGGCCAUGGAGCAUGGAUCAUCCUCCAUAGAUGCAGGGUAUUGCAAUCCCUUGCUCUUCUGCAUGCGAAACCCCUUCCAUGCUCGCGAGAUCAGCAUCCGCAUCAAGGCACUCAACCAGAGGCUCGAAGCCAUCAAGCAGCGAAGCGACACUUUCGGUUUCAUCAAUCUCGGGUUUUAUGAAGAUCGUAGCGGCAAUGCCCUUUCCUCUGGCUAUGGUAAUCCAAUUCGGGAAACGAUAGGAGACUUUGACAGGUCGGUUGUGGUUGGAGACAAGAUUGAAGACGACACAAGAGCAUUGGUUGCCCAUAUCAUCCAGACAGGAAAGGAGGUCAACAAUGACAUCAUGGUGGUCGCCAUUGUAGGUGUCGGCGGGGUUGGCAAGACCACACUCGCUCAGAAGAUCUUCAAUGAUGAGGCAAUCCAAGGUGAGUUCAGUAAAAAGAUAUGGUUGAGCGUCAACCAAAACUUCAGUGAGGUCGAGCUGCUCAAAAGAGCGAUCAUCGAAGCCGGAGGAGAUGCCCAGCUAGCUGGAAAUGCAAAGGCCACGCUCCACCGAAGCCUCAAGGAUGCAUUGAUUGGCCACAAGACCUUGCUGGUAAUGGAUGAUGUUUGGGACCAUGGAGCAUGGGAAAGUGUGCUCAAAAUACCCUUAGCCAAUGUUGCUGCUUCAGGUAGCCAAGUCCUCGUCACCACUAGGGAUGAAGGUGUUGCUCGAGGGAUGAUGGCCAGAUGGCCCUAUCACCAAGUCGACACAUUAUUGCCUGAAGAUGCUUGGUCAUUGCUCAAGAAACAGGUACUCUCAAGUGAGAUAGAUGAAGAGCACAUCAAUACGCUAAUGGAUAUUGGAUUGAAAAUUAUACAAAAAUGUGGUUGUUUACCUCUUGCCGUUAAAGUAAUGGGAGGACUCUUGCGUGAAAGAGGGGGGCUCCGUCGUGACUGGGAGCAGGUUUUGGAUGAUUCUAAUUGGUCAAUAACUAAAAUGCCCCAAGAGAUCAACCACACAGUAUAUAUAGGCUAUGACUAUAUGCCGCCUUAUUUGAAGCAGUGCUUUCUAUACUACUCACUGCUUCCUAAGAGUAAAGUUUUUCAUAUGGAUGAAGUCGUUGCAAUGUGGAUGAGCGAAGGAUUUAUUCAUGGAAACUCUAUUGAUUUAGAAGAAUUGGGAAAGAACUACUACAAGGAGUUGAUAUCUAGGAACCUUAUAGAGCUAGAUAAAUCAUAUCCUCAUAUAUGGGUUUGCAGCAUGCAUGAUGUUGUUCGCGCAUUUGCUCAAUAUAUGACUAAAGAUGAAGCACUCAUAGCUCAAGACGGAGACAAUGAUAUUCUUACAAAACUUAGUUCACAAAAGUUUCUUCGGUUAUCCAUAGAAACUAACCGAUCACAAUCAGAUGAUCUUGAUUGGACAUGUCUGCAGGCGCAACAAUCAGUGAGAACAUUAAUCUCAACUAUUCAGAUCAAGAUGAAGCCUGGUAAUUCAUUGGUUACCUUUUCAAGUCUGCGAGUCUUAUAUAUACAAGCUGCGGAUGUGGCUGCAUUGGUUGAAUCGUUGCAUCAACUCAAGCACCUGAGGUAUCUGGCACUAUUAGAUACUAAUAUUUCUGUACUUCCUGGGAGCAUUGGCAAGAUGAAACUAUUGCAAUUCCUUGACCUUCGUGGAUGUACAAAAUUGGUGAAUCUCCCCGAUAGCAUCGUGAUGCUCAGCCAGCUGCAAUUUCUUUACAUUCCCAACAUACAUAUCAUACCUAGAGGGUUCCGUGUUCUGAAAGGAAUAAGGAAACUAAUUGGGUUUCCAGCCCACAUGGAUGGUGAUUGCUGCAGUUUGGACGAAUUGGGGCCUCUUUACCAUCUCAAAAAUCUUUUCUUAAAUGAACUAGAAAAUGUUUCUGCUGCCUCAUUUGCUGCUAAUGCUAGGCUUGGUGAGAAGAUGAAUCUUAUCGAACUAUUCUUAUGGUGCACCAGCAGACUAGGAGAUGAUGGGCUGAUUAAAGAGAACGAAGGUGUCUCUGAGGAAGAGCAGCGACGAAUCGAGAAUGUGUUUGAUGAGUUGUGCCCUCCAUCCAGUGUAGAGAUUAUUAAUAUCAAAGGGUAUUUUGGCCAGCAACUCCCGAGUUGGAUGAUGUCUACAUCAAACGUGCACCUCAACACCUUGACGACUCUAUUUUUUUCUGACCUAGCAUGUUGCACACAACUUCCUAAUGGGUUGUGUCAGCUCCCCUACCUGCAAUUACUUCAGGUUAAUCGUGCUCCAUGCAUCAGGCGGAUUGGGACUGGAUUCUUGAAGGCUGCAUCAGCUCCAUUUCCGAAUUUAAAAGAGAUGAACUUGGCAGGAAUGGUGGGAUGGGAGGAAUGGGAAUGGGAGGAAAAAGUACAAGCCAUGCCCCGUUUGGAGAAGCUUCGGCUUAUAAAUUGCAGACUGAGGGAUGUUCCACCAGGCCUUGCCUCUAACACAAGGGCUUUGAAGCAAUUAACUCUAGAACAUGUCCAGCAUCUCAGCUACAUUGGGAGCUUUCCUUCAGUUGUUGAGCUUACAGUGGAUGGAAUCCCCGACCUAGAGAGGGUCACCAAUCUCCCCAAUCUGCAGAAGCUUACCAUCACCAAUUGCCCAAAUUUGAAGGUGCUGGAGAGUAUCCCUGCACUCGAUAGGUUGGUACUGGAGGAUUACGUCAUGGAAGAACUCCCAAAAUACAUGCGAGAUAUAAAGCCAAGGCAUCUACAGCUACUCUGCAGGAGAUGGUUGCUAUCUUCAUUAGCCACGGGACAGUGUGGUCCUGAGUGGCAUAAGUUCAGCCAUGUGGAGCAUGUCAAGGCAUAUGCACCUGAUGGAGGCAACCAAAGAAAAUGGUACAUGUUGUACACAAGAGGAGAAAACUACAAGUUGGAUUCAAAUAUUAGUGACUCUACCAUAUUUGAAGGCCCUGACUAUGCAGCCAAAUUGGUGCUGCCACAUGAAUGA
rnacentral:rRNA from 1 species